rnacentral:rRNA from 1 species
UACGUAGGGGGCAAGCGUUGUCCGGAUUCAUUGGGCGUAAAGAGCGUGUAGGCGGCCAGGUAGGUCGGUUGUGAAAACUGGAGGCUCAACCUUCAGAGGUCGACCGAAACCAUCUGGCUAGAGUCCGGGAGAGGAGAGUGGAAUUCCUGGUGUAGCGGUGAAAUGCGCAGAUAUCUGGAGGAACACCGGUGGCGAAGGCGACAUCCUGGACCAACACUGACGCUGAGGAGCGAAAGCCAGGGGAGCAAACGGG